rnacentral:rRNA from 1 species
AGAGUUUGAUCCUGGCUCAGAACGAACGCUGGCGGCAGGCCUAACACAUGCAAGUCGAACGCCCCGCAAGGGGAGUGGCAGACGGGUGAGUAACGCGUGGGAACCUUCCCAGUGGUACGGGAUAACUCGCCGAAAGGCGAGCUAAUACCGCAUACGCCCGAAAGGGGAAAGAUUUAUCGCCAUUGGAUGGGCCCGCGUAGGAUUAGCUAGUUGGUGAGGUAAUGGCUCACCAAGGCGACGAUCCUUAGCUGGUUUGAGAGAAUGACCAGCCACACUGGGACUGAGACACGGCCCAGACUCCUACGGGAGGCAGCAGUGGGGAAUCUUGGACAAUGGGCGCAAGCCUGAUCCAGCCAUGCCGCGUGAGUGACGAAGGCCUUAGGGUUGUAAAGCUCUUUUGGCGGGGACGAUAAUGACGGUACCCGCAGAAUAAGCCCCGGCUAACUUCGUGCCAGCAGCCGCGGUAAUUC